AUUUAAUUAUUUUUAGGAGAGCAAGAACUUUAUACACUAUAAAAUAGAUCAAACCAUAUUUUAUUUUUAACAUGCAAAAGAGAAAAAAUAAUAUGGCUGAAAUUCUCAAGGUUGUUUAUGAUAAUAUAGUUCUAUGUUUUUUAUCAUUUAUAUUCACAACAGAGGCCACUUUUAUGAUCGCAGGCCAUAUUUUUAAUUUACCUGCGUGUGUAACAGAUGCCGAUUGUCCAACAUCUGAAGACGUGUAUUUUGAAAUUAAAUGCAUUGAUCAAAUGUGUACAUGGAUUGGAAAAGUUUUUGAGUAAAUUACACUACCCUUCCUUUUUAUGUUAAAAUAUACACUCCCCUCCUCUUUUAUACAAAACAUCUUGGAGAAAAUUA